rnacentral:rRNA from 1 species
ACCGCAUUUGAAACUGGCAGGCUAGAGUCUUGUAGAGGGGGGUAGAAUUUCAGGUGUAGCGGUGAAAUGCGUAGAGAUCUGAAGGAAUACCAGUGGCGAAGGCGGCCCCCUGGACAAAGACUGACGCUCAGAUGCGAAAGCGUGGGUAGCAAACAGGAUUAGAUACCCUGGUAGUCCACGCCGUAAACGCUGUCUACUUGGAGGUUGAGGUUUAGACUUUGGCUUUCGGCGCUAACGCAUUAAGUAGACCGCCUGGGGAGUACGGCCGCAAGGUUAAAACUCAAAUGAAUUGACGGGGGCCCGCACAAGCGGUGGAGCAUGCGGUUUAAUUCGAUGCAACGCGAAGAACCUUACCUACUCUUGACAUCCAGAGAACUUUCCAGAGAUGGAUUGGUGCCUUCGGGAACUCUGAGACAGGUGCUGCAUGGCUGUCGUCAGCUCGUGUUGUGAAAUGUUGGGUUAAGUCCCGCAACGAGCGCAACCCUUAUCCUUGUUUGCCAGCACGUAAUGGUGGGAACUCCAGGGAGACUGCCGGUGAUAAACGGAGGAAGGUGGGGACGACGUCAAGUCAUCAUGGCCCUUACGAGUAGGGCUACACACGUGCUACAAUGGCAGAUACAGAGGGCAGCGAAGCUGCGAAGUGGAGCGAAUCCCUUAAAGUUUGUCGUAGUCCGGAUUGGAGUCUGCAACUCGACUCCAUGAA